AAUGGAUAAUUUAAUUCCAGAAUGCUCUCUCUUCUCUCUCUCUCUCUCUCUCCAACUUAGUUUUGAGCAUUGAGAAUUUAGCUUUCAGUAAAAAAAAGAGCUAAUGAAUCCUUGAUUAUGCUGGUUGCCUAUCUAGGCAUGGCAUUGUGAGGCUCAUGGCAUCAAUGAUUUGCAAAUGGCUAGCAUUUUAACAUAAAACAAAUCAUAACUACCUGCAUUCAGAUUUGUUGUGCUUAAUUGAAUGCAUGCUUUCAGCAUUGUUUUUGGUUGCAAAACUUAUUUUAAGUACAAGUCUA
rnacentral:lncRNA from 1 species